AACGAACGCGGGCGGCAGGCUUAACACAUGCAAGUCGAACGCAUCCUUCGGGGUGAGUGGCAGACGGGUGAGUAACGCGUGGGAACGUGCCCUUCAGUUCGGGAUAACCCAGGGAAACUUGGGCUAAUACCGGAUACGUGCGAGAGCAGAAAGAUUUAUCGCUGAAGGAUCGGCCCGCGUCUGAUUAGCUAGUUGGUGGGGUAAUGGCCCACCAAGGCGACGAUCAGUAGCUGGUCUGAGAGGAUGAUCAGCCACAUUGGGACUGAGACACGGCCCAAACUCCUACGGGAGGCAGCAGUGGGGAAUAUUGGACAAUGGGCGCAAGCCUGAUCCAGCCAUGCCGCGUGAGUGAUGAAGGCCUUAGGGUUGUAAAGCUCUUUCGUCCGGGACGAUAAUGACGGUACCGGAAGAAGAAGCCCCGGCGAACUUCGUGCCAGCCGCCGCGGUAA
rnacentral:rRNA from 1 species